rnacentral:rRNA from 1 species
GCCUACGGGAGGCAGCAGUGAGGAAUAUUGGUCAAUGGGCGGGAGCCUGAACCAGCCAAGUCGCGUGAGGGAAGACGGUCCUAUGGAUUGUAAACCUCUUUAGGCGGGGAGCAAUGCCGGGCACGCGUGCCCGGAGGGAGAGUACCCGCAGAAUAAGCAUCGGCUAACUCCGCGCCAGCAGCCGCGGUAAUACGGAGGAUGCGAGCGUUAUCCGGAUUUAUUGGGUUUAAAGGGUGCGUAGGCGGAUUGAUAAGUUAGAGGUGAAAUGUCCGAGCUCAACUCGGGAACUGCCUCUAAUACUGUUG